UAAGCGUGCGCAGGCGGUUAUGUAAGACAGAUGUGAAAUCCCCGGGCUCAACCUGGGAACUGCAUUUGUGACUGCAUGGCUAGAGUACGGUAGAGGGGGAUGGAAUUCCGCGUGUAGCAGUGAAAUGCGUAGAUAUGCGGAGGAACACCGAUGGCGAAGGCAAUCCCCUGGACCUGUACUGACGCUCAUGCACGAAAGCGUGGGGAGCAAACAGGAUUAGAUACCCGGGU
rnacentral:rRNA from 1 species